rnacentral:misc_RNA from 1 species
GUAACAAGGUUUCCGUAGGUGAACCUGCGGAAGGAUCAUUGAAUUAUUAAAACCACAAUGCGAACCUAUCUGUUCCGUGCCUUAGCUGCCAGCAAGGCAAUUGGCUUGCCCAAUUGUACUUGCAAGCUGGUGCGAGUAAUUUGAUUACUUGCAUCAGUGGCGCUUUGGCAUGCUUAUACACCAGUGCUAACCACUGUCAAAACCAAACUCUGAAGCUUUGAUUGCUAUUAACUGGCAAUCUUAACCAAAGACAACUCUCAACAACGGAUAUCUUGGCUCUCGCAACGAUGAAGAACGCAGCGAAAUGCGAUACGUAGUGUGAAUUGCAGAAUUCCGUGAACCAUCGAAUCUUUGAACGCAUAUUGCGCUCGAGCCCUCGGGCAAGAGCAUGUCUGCCUCAGCGUCGGUUUAUACCCUCACCCCUCUCUCCUUUUGGAGGGCUGGUCAGCUUCUAGUUGGCCUGAGGGGUGGAUCUGGCUUUCCCAAUUGGUUCACUCCGAUUGGGUUGGCUGAAGCAUAGAGGCUUAAGCAAGGACCCGAUAUGGGCUUCAACUGGAUAGGUAGCACCGGCUUCUGCCGACUACACGAAGUUGUGGCUUGUGGACUUUGCUAGAGGCCAAGCAGGAAACAUGCUUUGCAUGUCUUAAACUUUCGACCUGAGCUCAGGCAAGGCUACCCGCUGAACUUAAGCAUAUCAAU